AUGAGACCACCCAAGCUUCUAGGUCCUGGCAAUGGCAACACGGCCACGGGCGUUGCGGCGGCCCCUCACCCGCUGGCAUCUGUGUCGGCAAAUUCCCCAGGCGGCACAUCAUGGCGUUUCCCAUAGACGGCGGCGGCGCUUUCCCACGCACCGAAUCAUGGAGACCUGCCGGCAACCGUUGUUGAUGGCAUGGAGGGCGGCACGGCCGUGCUUCGAUCUGGCGGGUCGCGGUGCAUCCAUGCGCGCGUCUAAUUUCACGGAUCUAGUCCCUCAAAUCUCAAUCCAUCCGGCCAUGAUCGACGCGUGGUGAUGGUGCCAGUUCACGACGACGGGUUCCCCGUCCCCUAUAGACCGAUGCAUGUCCAGGUUAGUCUCUGCCCUCCAUCUUCCUUGGCUCUGCUUUGAUUCUGAUCCCUGAUCCCUUGCAUUCCCCUGUAGCCUCGCUUGCAAAGACCCUCAUCAAGUCACUCUCCCUCACAUAGGGUGGAGUCGUGGUUGCGCACAUCUGGAGGUGAGUUUCCUCCAACUGAAAUCAGACAUACGACAAUUGGAUUGGGGGAUAGUUGGAACAUGUCCACGGGAUGCUGUUGCUAUGAAUCUGCCUUGAUCUGAUUGGCGGUUCAUCCUUGAUGUAGAUUGGAAAAGAAAAAUUCGUUUCUUUUUGCAGAUCCGUACUACAGAAAGAUCGACAACUGACGCGUAUUUGCAGAGUACAGAAGGCAUGAUAGUCAUGGGAGUUUUACUGUUCGAGUGGCCAAAUUAGGCACUGAACUUUAGGUGUUCAUCAGUCUAAUUCAGAAGGGAAUUGUUUCCCACAUCUAUAUGCAAGUAGUACUCCGUGCAGUGGCGGAGGGCCCAGUGUGGCGAGGUCUGGCGCUCGCCACACCUCGGCCCGGCCCAAGCGGGAAUACGUCGGCC
rnacentral:lncRNA from 1 species